UACGAAGGGGGCUAGCGUUGCUCGGAAUUACUGGGCGUAAAGCGCGCGUAGGCGGAUCGUUAAGUCGGGGGUGAAAUCCUGGAGCUCAACUCCAGAACUGCCUUCGAUACUGGCGAUCUUGAGUCCGGGAGAGGUGAGUGGAACUGCGAGUGUAGAGGUGAAAUUCGUAGAUAUUCGCAAGAACACCAGUGGCGAAGGCGGCUCACUGGACCGGUAUUGACGCUGAGGUGCGAAAGCGUGGGGAGCAAACAGG
rnacentral:rRNA from 1 species